rnacentral:lncRNA from 1 species
AGUGUUGCUUUUCGGCUUUCGUCAUUCAUUGAUUUUCGGCUUUCUUGUUACACUCCUGGAGGUUUUCUAACGUGAAAUUAACAAUCAAGUACUCCCACAACUAAAUCAACAGUUAACACAAGCUAAAUCAAAAGUUAACACAACCUAAAUUAGUAACGGUUUGCGAAUUUACACGAAAGUCGCUCACACAUGACUAAUUAAAACCUCCAAACAUAUUGAGAACCCUUACCACUUAACAAACAACAACUACACGAAUUUGAGGUCGCUGGAAA